UGCAUUUAUAAGGGUUAUAAGUGUGACGAAUGUUCGACAGUUCUGCCAAAAUCACAAUCACCAUGACAAUGCUUAUAUUUAUCUUACACUGUAUACAUUUUUUUCUGUCAAUUUGUAAAUAAUCCUUCAGAUCAGCUCCGUACUGGCACCAGUCAGGGAAUUCAUCGAGAGCAAAGUUUGUUAUUUCGAAAUGUUUUCAAAAAUAUACCACUACUUAAGGACAGAUACAUGUUAAAUGUUUAUUUGUUUUAAUCUUAGUAUUAUCAUAAUUCAAAGAGGUUAUUAAGAUUGUAUUGUCAUUAUUUAUAUGUGUAUAUAAUGAAGAUGAUUUUGUUUUAAAACUUAACAUUCAUUUUUGUGUUAAUUCCAUUUGUUUUUGUGAUUUGUUGUUUAUUACGACAUAAUUCCCUUAUCAUUCCUGAUGCAAAUUACGCAACGUAAACGUUGCGUGACCCCCGCAACCAACCUUUGAUGUUGGUUUUACUGUAAACUUGUAAACGUGUACAAAUGCACCAACAAACGUGUAGUGACUGUUGAUUCUGAAUCAACACAUCUAACAUGAAGUAAUAUUUCCUAAAUACGCCUAAUCCUUAUAUUUCAUGUACUACUUUAAUCGAAAACAAUUAUUUUUGCCUAAGUUUGAUGUUAUUUAUUGUAUUUCAAUUCAGAAACACUUUCUGUGGCGGGUUUGCUGCCUUCCUUAUGAAGUUUUGGUUUUGAUUAAGAUUUGAUUUGCUUAUAUGGCAGUUAUCUUUUAUUUGAAAAGGUAAAUUACUUUUAUUUUAUGUUUGCAAAAUUUCAUUUUUUUUUUAAACGGGCUCGACGUAUGGCUUCAAAUGAAUUUGCAGCUUAAGUGAUGUUAAAUAAACUAUAUACUUCAGGCCUACAGAUGUACAUUAUUUGUUUUAUCUAGAGAAACAACGAGAGAAAUACAUCAAAUGGGGUUUUAUCGUGAUUGUAAUACAGGGACGUAACAUUCCGCGCCAUUUCCACAUGUAUCACCGAUGACAUAAUUGACACAUAUUGAUAGAUAGGAUAAUAUUUAAAAUGUCCAGCAAAACUUGUUUUUAUUUGUUAUCAAUUAUGUAAAUUCGAGCAAAUAUUGUAAAUAUAAAGAUAAUGUUGAUUUUUCUUUUUGCUCAAUCUGAAUUAAAUGGUUAGUUGAAAAUGUUA